UAAUCUCACUACGAUCGACUUUAUUGUCUUUCGGUAUGUGGACUUGGAUGUUGCCGUGAACAAAUGAACGGCUCGUCUGAAAUGCCUGAGUGUACCCCGCUUUGCGGCGUAUUCGGUGUGAUAAAUCUUCACCGGAGUUGAUCCCCUUUAUUGGGGUCGCGUCUGUAAUGGUGUGGCUCUAUGCUUCGAACCGUCUUCCUUGUGGAGACAAACCUCUGACA
rnacentral:misc_RNA from 1 species